GACAAAGAGCACGGUAUUUCUGCUUUUAAGGUUAUUUCCAUGGCACAAUGAAACAGCUAGUGCAUAGAGAUGGGUAGGUCAUAAGAGCACAGCCUGCUGCCCAGGCUAGGCUACCCCUCCAGCAACACUAGCUGGGUCUUUAAAAGUUAAGGUCCAGUAUUCACCAGUAAUAAAGCAGUUAGCAUUAGUUUGUACAGGCUGCAAAACUGGCUGUCACCAAGUAAAUGGUUAUAUAUUCCAGCUGCUGGAGAGCAGCAAUAGAUGUGCCUGGGUCUAUGUGAAAAACCUCCGUUCUUUAAAACCCUUGACAGAUAGAGAUGACUCCCAAGAAGACAAGGCACAUCAUAUUUUAAGAUCUCAGAUAUUCCAGUGGUAGGUGAUAAUUUUACUUGAGCUUCAGCUGUCAGCACUAGUUAAUUCUCAUGCUAAGGAACAUUGGUUCACGUGCAUUCCUUGGUUGUAAGGAAAGGGAACUCUCACACCCUGUGAGUGCUGUGCUACUCUUUGCCUCUUGUGCUUUCUAAUAAUGCUUAACACAUACUUAGUAUUUAAAAACCUUUUCUGUACACCUAAGAGUUAGGAGUGUGUGUUCUUCAAAACAAGUGUAAUUUAUUCCCAUGGUCUGUGUAGCUGAGAGCAGAACUGGCAGCAGAUAUAUCCAGCUCAACUUAUUAUAUAAUAUUAAAAAGUUGCUGAGUUAUUUGCUACCUACAAAAUCCUUAGAAUUUAGACAAAAGUUUACAGAAAAUAAGGAUGCGUUGUUAACAAAGCUGGUGGAAGUUUGGAGUUGGCUGUCUGCUUGCUUUGUGACAUCUCCAAAGGCUGCAAGAGCUGAUUUUAAGAGAUGCCUGGCAGUCCAGCAUCAGAAACUAACGCUGGGAUGACUUUCUGGAGUCACCAUCCUCAAACGUUUCCUUUGCACAACCCAUUUACAGUGACAAAAUAGACAGCAAAUCCUUUCAUUCCAACAAGUCCUGGCUUCAGCAUUGCUAUCUCAGCAGGAUGUGAAGACAAGAUAAAAAAGCCAGCAGUGACUCUGCCUGCAGAUGGGUCAGAGGAAUUUUUCAAAAAAAACAACUUUCAUUUCAUCCCUGAGAUGGAGUUCAAUGACUGCAGCACAGUCAAGUCCCAAGCUAUUACAGGUGUAAGUAAACUCUUCAGAGGUUAAUAUACAGCUGAGAAAUUGUUUGCUUUCUCCCCUGACCCCCCUUAUUUUGUACAUAUUUUCCAUCUGAAAUGGGAUUCAGGAGUGUACCACUGCAGACACGUGGCACAGGCUGGACUUCUGUUCCAAAUUUCUUUACUGUAACUCUUCCCUGUGAUUUAAUCCUCAGGGGGGCAAGCCAAGUAAGAUGCAAGAUUUAAAUUUUGCAAGCCCUGGCACCGCCUGCUCCUCCAGAACUAUUCAUCUAUAGCAAUUAGUGUGCAGCAGCAAGCCCUACGCUAAAGUGAUGUGUAGAAACACAGGACUGACCCAGGCUCUCCCAGGCAGUACAAAACAGAUCAAACAAGAGCCUAACAAGAAAUCUUUCAACAGAGCUAAGGUUCAGAAAACAAUCUCAAGAUUAGAUAAGUGAAAGCCCAGCUCUUGAUAGCUGAAGGCAAAAAAUUUAGAGGCUGAAGGCUGAGCACUUGAGACAAGAAGGCUGAACCCCAGUAUUGCUGUGUGGGCUGAACACUACCAGCAUCCAAGACCAGCAAAACAGACUGCUAGCACUGUCUAAAUCAGCUGUCUGUGAGCAUCCACCAUUGAACAGCCCAAGAAGUGGGAUAUUUUAUCAGAGUAUUGGUAGUGCAGAGGGAUGAACAAGACCUGCUGGCAUCCUCCAUCAGCUGAUCCCCUGAAUCCCAGGCACUGUCCACAACCAGAAGGCAGUUAAUUGCAUCAGAAGGGAACAGAAAUCGUCUCCACCAGGGAAUUCCAGCCAACCAUGAGCAAGGACAUGUAUUUGCAAAGGGAUUUCAGAUACACACUGAAGCAAAGAUGACUGUGCCAUCAAUCACGUGGAAGUUCUCUCUGAAGGGCCCAUCUGUGAAGGUGGCAGCCUGUCAGCCUCUUCACUCCUCCAUUUCACAGCACAACCUUCAUAAGGAUGGAAAUCAGUUCAGGAUAAGUGCAUAUACUGAGGGUGCUAGUAUCUUUGCUUAACUGAAGCAAAAAGUCUUUGCUUCAGACCAAAAUGAAGCAAAACUUAUGUGCUUCAGACCAAACUAUGCUGUAAUAAUCUGUUCAGAACU
ensembl:lncRNA